rnacentral:rRNA from 1 species
GGAGGGGGCUGAUUAGGCAUGCUCUGAAAGAACCCGAUCGAGAACAGCGACAGCGACAGCUGGACCUGGUCCCGGCCCAGCCUGGGAGGAGGCUGCUGCCUUCCCCUUCCCUCAGGAACACCAGCACGGCGCCGCUGGAUGGGCCGGAUGGAGACGGCGUGCAAGCGUCGGAAGCCGCCCAGCGAGAGCACGACGGCGCGGAGCUGCUGCUCGGAGAAGCCG